UUUAUUUGAUGGUGUUUCUACUCGGAUAACCGUAGGAAAACUAGAGCUAAUACGUGCGUAAAUCCCGACUCACGAAGGGACGUAUUUAUUAGAUAAGAGGCCGACCGGGCUUUGCCCGACCUUCGGUGAAUCAUGAUAACUUCACGAAUCGCAUGGUCUUGAACCGGCGAUGUUUCAUUCAAAUUUCUGCCCUAUCAACUUUCGACGGUAGGGUAGUGGCCUACCGUGGUGGUAACGGGUAACGGAGGAUUAGGGUUCGAUUCCGGAGAGGGAGCCUGAGAAACGGCUACCACAUCCAAGGAAGGCAGCAGGCGCGCAAAUUACCCAAAUCCCAAUUCGGGGAGGUAGUGACAAGAAAUAACGAUGCUCCGGCCUCACGGUCGGGUAAUCGGAAUGAGAACAAUUUAAAUCCCUUAUCGAGGAUCAAUUGGAGGGCAAGUCUGGUGCCAGCAGCCGCGGUAAUUCCAGCUCCAAUAGCGUAUAUUUAAGUUGCUGCGGUUAAAAAGCUCGUAGUCGGAUUUCGGGUGGCGCCUACCGGUCCGCCUUUGGUGAGUACUGGUAGGUGCCACCUUUCUGCCGAGGACGGGUCUCUGGGCUUAAUUGUCUGGACCCCGGAGUCGGCGAUGUCACUUUGAGUAAAUUAGGGUGUUCAAAGCAGGCU
rnacentral:rRNA from 1 species